AGCCGGCUGCUGUGGCGGCGCGCGCUGCUGUUCCUGAAGGAGAGCUGCCUCAUUGCGGGCUCCAGCCCUGUCCGCGCGAGUGCUCCGCUGUACUCGAGCGGGUUUAUGAGCGUUUGUUGUGUCGAGGGCACCCGUAAUGGGGUGCCGUCUGCAGGUUUUCAAAAUGUACCCGCUAAAACCAAAGAAGAUUUUUUGUCGAUAGCUUCCCAGCAUUGUUGAGAUCCUGCCUCUGAGCUGUGAGCUUCCUGCCACCGGGAUUAAUGCCAGCUGAGAAUGAAGCCUGGAAGACUGCUUGUGAAGGCCCCCUGCACUCAGUAUAUUUCAGUGUGAUGUUAAGUAUCCAGGGUGGAGGCAGCAUGCUAAACUAUGUCAGUUCUGAGCAGCACUGCAACCCAUAGGAUGGUUUUGGAGUUCGGCAGGCUCCCAAGGAUUUACUGAUAUCAGUUCUACUCAUUUUGCUGAUGUACACAAGUUCCUGUAUGACACAUUCAAGAGGUACUUAGAAAUGAACAAGGGGCGGAAAGGGGAGGGGUAUUGCCUUUGUACAUUUGAAGAGAAAUGAAAGUCAGCAAUGAAAAUCUGUCCUGACAUAUGCUUUCCUGCAGAAAAAAUAGUUGCUUAAUAGAUCACAUGUUCUUUGGAGAUACUCUUCUAACUUCUAUUAAUUUAUGUGCUCAAAGCACAUAUUAUUUAUCCCAUACAAAUGGGAAUACCAAGGUACUAAGCAUUGUCAAACUGAAGUGAAUAAAUUCUCUGGCAAGACUCAACAGCAUGGGCUACCUGCUCUGCAAGAAAGAAGCCAGGAGUUUAGCAUGAGAGUAAUGCAGGCAGAAGGUGUGACCUUGAGAAGUUAGAGACCAGUGAUCAUCAGCAGGGAUGAGCCAAAUGUGAGGCUGAGCCAAGAAGCCCAGGCAGUGCCCAAGUCACAGAGAUGUGAGCCUGGAUGCAGAUGUGCAACUGUGUUAGCACAGAGGCAAGGGCUGGCAGCAAAGCCUCAGUUUAAAAUCAAUUACCAAGGGCUUUCUUUACAGGAGCUCUUAUCAGUUAAAGAACUGACCUUGGAUUCAGCCAGCUAAACUAGUCGGUUCCCCUCCUCCCCCCCCAAGUAACAGUCUUAGAUGGUGAAUGCAACUCUGGGCUCAGACAAUUAGAUUUUCUAUAUCUAAAUCAAGUAUUUGAACCAUGAAACUGUUUCAUGCACUUUGCCGCAAGCCCCAAAUAUAGAUAAUCAAAAUAGAAUCAGAUUAACACACUUAACAUUUUGCUUACUGCCUUCUGCCUGAACUGCAAAAUACUGAAAAUAGUUUCAGUUUUCUUUUCUUUGAAGUGUACUCAAGAUCCAGUUCAGAGCUGAUUGAAACCAGUGGAAACGAUGAAUUUCCAUCAGACUCCUGAAUUUUGGAUGAAUACUGUAGGCAAGAUGAUAUUCAAAGUUCAGAAGAGUAUUUUUUUAAGAAUGAAAGAUAUUCUGUCUUCUUUAUUCCUGCUUUUG